rnacentral:lncRNA from 1 species
AAAAUUUAAGUAAUAGAGUAGUUUUAGAAUGUUUGUAAAAAUAUUUCUAUCAAUAAAGUAUUCACUUUAAUACAACAAUGAGCAACUAACUCUUUUUAGUUGAGUUAAAGAAGAUAAACAAGAAAAUAAGGAAAGUAUUAUAAGGUUUUAGAAGUAUCUCUGGAGCUCUGGAGGACGGUUGAUCAAGGGCAUUAAAGCUAUGAUUGCGUGUAGCCCGCUUUAUCCUGUCUUGAGUUGAGAUCAUAAAACUUAGGUACGUUUCUUUAUUAGUAUUGUUUAUACUCUUUAAUUCAAUCUAUCUUGAAAAUUUUAUUAGUUAAAUUCCAAUCGAAAUAAGCAUGUUAGAAUUAAAGCAUAUAUACAAUGACAGUCAGUAUCACAAAAUUGGAAUAGUAAACAAUAAGUUAUGUAUAAUACUUAUAGAUACAUGAGCAUGUAUGAGUCAUAUUACUUCAGAUUUAGUAUGUGAAGUAUAUGAAGCAAAAAGAGAAUUCAGAUAUAAAGACUUUUUUGGAUUAAAACAUAUUCAGAAUAAAGUAUCAGAAGUAGAAAUAAUACUUAGUCAAGAUCUACAGUUCACGGUAGAACUUUUAGUAGAUUAUCAAGAGAAAGCAAGAGAAGUACUAUUGGGAAUAGACUUCCUAGAAUGUUUUGAAUAUACAAUUAGAAAUGAAGAAUUAGUUCUAAAUACAAAAGGAAAGCAAUUUAGAAUUCCAUGAAUAAGAUUAAAUCCACAUCAAAUCAGAGAAAAUCUAACUUAAUGGAUUUAGAAAAUAAUAUCAUUCAGUUAGAAGAAAAUCAAGGAAAAUAUAUUCAAGAUAUUUUAUUAGAUAAGAAAAUAGUUAACCAAGUAAAAUAUAAAGGAAGUUUAGAUAUAAUUGAAACAGAAGGAGUUAAAACAUCUUUGUUUCAAAAAAUAUCUAGAAAAAAUAUUAUAUAUUAUGGUAUUAUGCAAGGAGUACAAUCAAGUUAAAAAUAAAGGAAGUUUAGAUAUAAUUGAAACGGAAGGAGUUAAGACAUCUUUGUUUCAAAAAAUAUCUAGAAAAAAUAUUAUAUAUUAUGGUAUUAUGCAAGGAGAACAACCUGUUAAAAUAGAACAAGCAACUACCAAGUUUCAAGCACCAUUAGUUGAUAUAAAUCAAAUUGGAAAAAGAUUAGCAGCUAUAAAGGGCGAAGACAGAAGUAAGAUAGGAUAUAUACAUAUCAAUACAAUACAAAUAAUCAUUAGAUCAACAUUUAGAGAAGGUAUUAAAACGCCUGUAAUUCUAACAGUUGAAGAUAAUAGAAUUAUGAAAAACCAAUUCAAAAAGCUAGGAGAGAUUGAAGGAGAUCUAGGAUAUACAACAAUAAGGUUUUGUGUAUCUCUUCAGUUCCCUAUACCACUAAGCACAAAGAAAAUAGAUAAUUGUCUAGGAAUAAUUUGUAAUUUCCUAGAAAAAGAUUUAAUGGAAAAGGUGGUAUUUCUUUUGGUAAUAUGCUACAGAAUAGCCUAUGCAUUAAAUAAUUCUUGUUUAAGUUUAACUUACAAGAAUCACCUCUAGUAAUAUGCUAUAGGAUAGCCUAUGCAUUAAGUAAUUCUUGUUUAAGCUUAACUUACAAGAAUAGGGAAAAUAUUUAUACAGAAAAAUUAUUUAGUGAAACUAGCACAUUAAUAAAAAAUGAUGAAGUAUCAAGAGAGUUUCUUAGAAGCCAUAGUUCAACAAACUUACCCUUUAAAAUAGAACAGAGUAAUUUAUUACCAAGUUUUAGUCAAAUAAGUAGACCAAUAAGUAAGACGACAUUAUUUGAAGAAGAUCAAGAAAUAAGAAAAAUGAAUAAGCAGAUAGGUGAAUUAAACAGAUUAGGCUGUUCUCCUUGCAUAAUACCAUAAUAUAUAAUAUUUUUUUUAGAUAUUUUUUGAAACAAAGAUGUUUUAACUCCUUAUGUUUCAAUUAUAUCUAAACUUCCUGGAAAGAUUAAUAAUACAAAAUAUCGAUUUUAAAAAAAAGAAUUAGAAGAUGAAAAUGAAGAGCAACAUGAUUUAAUGCUAGCAAAGGAUAAAGUAAUAAAAAUGCAAGAAGAAUUUGUAAUAACUCUUUUAAAAAGGAUAGAUAAUUUAAAAAGAGAAUUAAACAGACAAGCGGACCUAGAAAAUGCUUCCCCUAGUACAGUUUUAUAUUAAUCGGCGAUAAGCAAACUAGUGCUUUAAAUCUAGCCCUACAAAUUGAUAUCAGAGUAAGGAUUAGAUACUAAAGAAUAUAAAAUAAUGUCAAAAGACCAUAAUCUAGAAAAUCCAUUUAGAAAAGAUAUACAGAAUGAACAAAUAUACACACUCCAGAAGCAAAUACUAGAGCAUUCUUACCAAUAAACCAAAAUCUUACCCAUUAGAUGAAAACAUAAAAGAAACAGAGUUUUGUAUUUCUGCAGGAAAAGAAAUAUAUGAACAAAAUAUAAGUAGAAAUUUACAAACAAUUAUUAAAAUACAAAAUAAUCAAACAGAAAUAUUAGCAUACAUUUGUAAGGUAUUAUUUGAAGGAAUUAUAGAACCCAAUAAGAAAAUUUCUAUAACAGUCAGUAAUCUUUCAGAAAACAUUAAAGAGUCUAGUAAACUUGAAGAACAACUAGUUGAAACCAAUAAUAAGAUAACUCAGAUAUUAGGUAAAAUAUAAUGACCGAACCACAAAGAGUUUCAGAACAAAUAAAUACACUAAUAGAAUUAGUUAAACAAAAUAUGAAAAUGCAAAACGAGGUCAUAAAUAGGUUAAAAGAAAUUAAAAACCUAAAGAAAGUAAGUACAAAUACCAAGAACUUAUAGACCACCUUAAAGAAAAAGGUAAAAGAGAAGAAACAUCUAGUCAUACACAACAAAUAGGCAUAAAUAAAGAACAAGCUUUAGAUUUGUUGCAAGAAACUAUUAAAGCUAAAAGCAAAAAAAAAAGUGUUUAACAGAAGAAGAAUUUCAAAAGUAUUUUAGGAAAGAACCCAAGCAAAGAAUAACAAUAGUAGAACCUACAGGAUUAUCAUCCCGAGAAAAAACAUUAUGGAUGAAAUUCAAAGAUUAACUGACCUUCUAGAAAAAUGCAAUUUAGACGACAUACAUAUGUCAAAAAUAGACGACGAAGACAAAAAAGGAAUUGUCUACGGUAUAGAUAGUGAUGAAGAUGAACCUUUCGUUCAUACGGGGGAAGAAGAAGAUAAUGAUAAAAAACUACAAUCUAGUCCGAGAAGACCUAGAUCACCAGUUUACAUAGGAGAAUCUAGCAAUAAUAAUAAUGAAACUAAUCUUACAAGAAGUUUCAGAGAUUAUUCAUAUAGAAAUGAUUAUAUCAAGGAAAGUUACAUAAAGGAUUUCCACCAAAAUAUAUAGAAAAAGCAAAAAGCAUAACAAAUGAUAUUUUAAAUAUCAAUUGUACAGCAAAUACAAAACAGUUAAUUUUAGCAUGGAUUAAUCAGUUAAAAUUAUUAGUACAAACUAAAGACGAAACAAUUAGUAAUUUAACAAUUAAAGAUUUUUCUAAUUAACAUCAAAUAUAAAACUAUAGGUAUUAUUUUUGAAUGGCUAGAAACAACUGCUAUAGAAAUACCAUAUGCAAAAACAGAAGUGUCAACAGAGUCAAAACUCUUUACCUUAGAUAUAACAGCUAAAGCAAUUUUUAAAAAAUUCUUAGGAAUUACUUACAUUAAAAAUAUAAAAGAAAAAAGAGAAAACUAAAACUGAUAUAUUCAUUAGGCUUCGAGUCUAUAGAAGAAUUAUAUAGUGAAGAUGAAGAAAUAGACUUUGAUACAUACAGUCUUGAAUCUGAUUAUUCAGAAUCUGAAACAGAUAAUGAAGAUGAGUAAGAAUAGUACAUUUAUCAAGAUAAAAAUCUUAGAUAAAACUAUUUUAGCUUAUGUAGAUACAUGUGCUACAAUCUGCUUAGCACAAGAGAAAUUAUUACCAAAUAAAUAUUGGAAGAGGUUAAAGCAACCAAUAUCAGUAAGAAUAGCAAAUAAUAAGAUAAUACAAAUCGAAUAUAAAGCGGUAGAUUUCGUAAUUCUUAUAGAAGGACGGAAAUUUUUAUUACCAAGUAUUUAUAAACAAAAGUAGAUUUCGUAAUUCUUAUAGAAGGACGAAAAUUUUUAUUGCCAAGUAUUUAUAAAAAAUUUCGUCCUUCUAUAAGACUUACGAAAUCUACUGCUUUAUAUUCGAUUUGUAUUAUCUUAUUAUUUGCUAUUCUUACUGAUGUUGGUUGCUUUAACCUCUUCCAAUAUUUAUUUGGUAAUAACUUCUCUUGUGCUAAGCCGAUUGUAGCACCUGUAUCUACAUAAGCUAAAAUAGUUUUAUCUAAGAUUUUUAUCUUGAUCAAUGUACUAUUCUUACUCAUCUUCAUUAUCUGUUUCAGAUUCUGAAUAAUCAGAUUCAAGAUUGUAUGAAUGAAAGGUUCAUCUUCAUCACUAUCUAUACCGUAGACAAUUAAACAAGCACCAAGUAUAUAUCAAAGAUUUAUGGAUACUAACCUUGCAUGUUUAGAAUUUAUAUGUCUAGCAUAUAUUGACGAUAUUAUCAUCUUUACAAAUGGUAAUAAAGAAAAACAUUUAGCAGAUGUUUAUAAAGUUCUAAAUAGAUUAAAAGAAAAAAGAAUUAUUUUUUCAAACGAAAAAGCAAAGAUUUGUAAACAAGAAGUUGAUUUGCAUUUUCAUAUUUUGUUUAACUAAUUCUAUUAGUGUAUUUAUUUGUUCUGAAACUCUUUGUGGUUCGGUCAUUAUAUUUUACCUAAUAUCUGAGUUAUUUUUAGUAUUGGUUUCAACUAGUUGUUCUUCAAGUUUACUAGACUCUUUAAUGUUUUCUGAAAGAUUACUGAUUGCUAUAGGAAUUUUCUUAUUGGGUUCUGUAAUUCCUGCAAAUAAUACCUUACAAAUGUAUGCUAAUAUUUUUGUUUGAUUAUUUUGUAUUUUAAUAAUUGUUUGUAAAUUUCUACUUAUAUUUUGUUUAUAUAUUUCUUUUCCUGCAGAGAUACAAAACUCUAUUUGUGUUAUAUCUAUGAGCCUAAAGUGAUGAUCUUGGAGAAGAAGAAACCAAAAUUUGCCAAAACCGUGUGGUCCCCUCCCCUCGAAAAAUGAGUGUGUGCAGGUGGUGAAUAAAAACAUUAAUACUUAUUAUACAAUUGUGAUCCAAAGAUAAUUCAAAAAUGAAUACUCAGAUGUAAGGCUGGAAGUGGCCCGGUUCGGAACCGGAACCGGACCGGAACCGCGGUUCUUGCAGUUCCGGCGGUUCUGGCGGUUCCGGUUCCGCGGUUCCGGGUCUGGCGGUUCCCCGGAACCGUGAUGGAGCGGUUCCACCCGCUAGAACCGCGGAAACAGAACCGUCAGAACCGGAACCGGUUCAGGCGGUUCCAACCGGUUCCAAACGGUUCCGCAACGUUUGAAAUUUUUAAAAAAAAAUGUUUUUUUUUUAAAUUCGGACCGUUGCGGAACCGUUUGGACCCGUAUGGAACCGAACCAGUUCAGGCGGUUCCAUCUGGUUCUAAACGGUUCCAACCGGUUCCCAACGGUCCGGAUUUUUAAAAAAAAAUUUUUUUUUUAAAAAUUUCAAACGGCUCUUUUUCAAAAUUAGCCGUUUGGAAUUUUCAAAAAUAGCCAUUUAACCCCCCAGACUUUAAUUUAACCCCUAACUUUAUAUAAUUACACAAUUUCCCAUUUCUCAACUAUAAAUAUCCCCUCAUUCUUUCAUUUUAAUUCACAAAUUCAUCAAUAUAUCUCAAUCUCUCUCAAUCUCUCUCAAGCUCUCUUUCAAUCCUUCUAGUGCAAGUGCUUAAUUUAUUGUUGCAAAUUUGUGAAAAUUGUGAAGUUGUUGAAUU